GGCACAGCUUGUACAGGAUAGGUAGGAGCCUUUGAAACGUGAGCGCUAGCUUACGUGGAGGCGCUGGUGGGAUACUACCCUAGCUGUGUUGGCUUUCUAACCCGCACCACUUAUCGUGGUGGGAGACAGUGUCAGGCGGGCAGUUUGACUGGGGCGGUCGCCUCCUAAAAGGUAACGGAGGCGCUCAAAGGUUCCCUCAGAAUGGUUGGAAAUCAUUCAUAGAGUGUAAAGGCAUAAGGGAGCUUGACUGCGAGACCUACAAGUCGAGCAGGGUCGAAAGACGGACUUAGUGAUCCGGUGGUUCCGCAUGGAAGGGCCAUCGCUCAACG
rnacentral:rRNA from 1 species